GUGCUGAAUGCUAGUCAGAUUCACUGGGGGGCUGAGUAUGCUCAACAUAUGUUACCAAGGCGCAUGUGCUCAGCCAGUCUAACAUAAUCAUGGGUUUUGUUGGCUUGCUGAAAUGCCUUGCUGUUUUCUAACUUCAACAGGUAACCUUCAUCAGCUAAUCAGACUGGAAAUAUUCACAAAAAUACACAAAAUCUAUAAGUUUAAUUGCUGUUCACAAAUAGUUCCCUGGCUUUACACUUUUUACUGUGGGCAAAACUGACAGCUAUCCAGCACAAGAUCUGAUCACCAGUCAAAUUCCAGGAAAGCCAGCAAUCUUAUGGAGCACAGCCAGACAUUCAAAUCACACAGCUCCAGUUUCUUUCAGCUCUGGUUUGUCCAGUGUUAUGCAAUCCAUGACUUCACAAGAAAAGAAUCAGCAAUAAAAUCCAGUCUUCUUGCUCCAAACAGAUGUUACAGUUAUACUGAUACAUUAACAGGACCAGAAAGUGUCCUCAGGGACUGGAAUUCAAUCAUGUUUACUGGUAAGUUUCUUCAGCUUUUGGGCCCAGCCCAAUUAGUUCAUACCUGAGCAGUUUCUGGGAAUUAAUUUAGCAUGCAUCAGGGAUCGUUCUUAAUCGGCAGAAUGG
rnacentral:lncRNA from 1 species